rnacentral:rRNA from 1 species
GAUGGACGCUGGCGGCGUGCCUAAUACAUGCAAGUCGAGCGAACAGACGAGGAGCUUGCUCCUCUGACGUUAGCGGCGGACGGGUGAGUAACACGUGGAUAACCUACCUAUAAGACUGGGAUAACUUCGGGAAACCGGAGCUAAUACCGGAUAAUAUAUUGAACCGCAUGGUUCAAUAGUGAAAGACGGUUUUGCUGUCACUUAUAGAUGGAUCCGCGCCGCAUUAGCUAGUUGGUAAGGUAACGGCUUACCAAGGCAACGAUGCGUAGCCGACCUGAGAGGGUGAUCGGCCACACUGGAACUGAGACACGGUCCAGACUCCUACGGGAGGCAGCAGUAGGGAAUCUUCCGCAAUGGGCGAAAGCUUGACGGAGCAACGCCGCGUGAGUGAUGAAGGUCUUCGGAUCGUAAAACUCUGUUAUUAGGGAAGAACAAAUGUGUAAGUAACUAUGCACGUCUUGACGGUUCCUAAUCAGAAAGCCACGGCUAACUACGUG